AGAGAGAGAGAGAGAGAGAGAGAGAGAGAGAGAGAGAGAGAGCGAGCCAUGAAUUUAAUAUUAUAAUAUAAAAAAUCACAACAGAUUACAUCUAGAGCAGCAACACCAGAAGUACAGAUAUAAGAGCCAUCACAAAUCCAACCAAGUAGUAAUGUUCUUGAGUCUGAGUGAUCACCAUGGAGUCCACUGAGGAAAGAAUUGCAGCAUCUCAUUCUUGUACACUCCCUGUUAUCCUUAGCUGCUAUUCCCCCUUCUGAUCCCAAUCUCUAUCCCAUUUGCUCCCUCUUUGUCCCCUCAUCCCAUCCCUUCCAGUGUAAUAGCAACUUUAUUAUGUAAGCAAUGAAGCAGAAUUGUCUACCAAACAAUUAAUGACCUGACCUCAGUUUUUUUUCUGCCAUGGUCCUCACUUAUAUAUAUAUAUAUAUAUAUAUAUAUAU